UACGUAGGGGGCAAGCGUUGUCCGGAUUUAUUGGGCGUAAAGAGCGUGUAGGCGGCCAGAUAGGUCCGUUGUGAAAACUCGAGGCUCAACCUCGAGACGCCGAUGGAAACCAUCUGGCUAGAGUCCGGAAGAGGAGAGUGGAAUUCCUGGUGUAGCGGUGAAAUGCGCAGAUAUCAGGAAGAACACCCGUGGCUAAGGCGGCUCUCUAGUACGGUACUGACGCUGAGACGCGAGAGCGUGGGGAGCGAACAGG
rnacentral:rRNA from 1 species